GGCUGCCAAAAGCCAUUCUUCUAAACAAUCUGAUCUCUGCAGACUGCUCAGCUGAGUCGAUGACCUCGCUUUGGCCUAGUCUCAUCCCGUUGGUCAAGUCUUCCUCAGCUAGACUGUCGAAAGCUCUCACAAUCUGACUCAUCCGAGGUCUCUUUGCAGCUGAGUGGCGAAUACAAGCUGCAGCUGCUUCGAUCAUUCUAAACAUUUCAGCGCCAACGUAGUUUCUUCCCAGCUUGGGGUCUACUAAAGCUUCAAACUCCUCGGUUUCUACGGCAUGACUAAGCAAAGGACGAGCCUGAAAACAUUCAACACAAAAACACAUUGGACUAAAAGAAAAGAGUUCCAUUCUCAAAAAUGUUUAUUUUAUGCCAUACCCAUUCAACAAGGCUCUCAUCUCCCAAGGGUUGUGAUGUAUCAACAGGCUUACGUCCAGUGACUAACUCAAGUAGAACAACACCAAAGGAGAAGACAUCUGAUUUUUCAGUUAAUUUGCCACUUGAUGCAUAUUCAGGAGCCAUGUAGCUGGAAAUAAUUAACCACUACUUGUAUUAGAUGCAGAGAUUGCAACAUUACAUACAGAGAACUAUUAUGAGAACUUAACCAACACCUACCCGAACGUUCCCAUAACACGAGUUGUGAUAUGCGUGUUACAAUCUAGAGCUAGCUUUGCAAGACCAAAGUCAGAAACCUAAAGAAUCAAGAGAUCAAAUGUUACUAAAACUCAUGAUCAUAAACAUCAGCAGCCUUACAAAUUCAGAAGAGAAGAUGAAUAUGAAUAUGUAUUAUACCAGAGGGUGAAAGUUAUUAUCUAAAAGAAUGUUGGAUGACUUGAUGUCCCUGUGUAUGAUACGAGGAUGACCUGCCAUUCACAUAAUUAGUUUAGCCGCCAAGAACCAUAAGAAGAUAGUACCAUCAGAUAAACACAGAAACCUACAAUCUUCAUGGAGAUAAGCUAGUCCACGAGCCGCACCAGCAGCGAUUUUAACACGCGUUGCCCAGUCCAGACCCGGUGUUCCUGCAGCUAAAAGACCAGAAGAAACAUAGUUUUUAAGUAACAGUAGUUUUGUCUUCUAUGAAUCUGUGAGUCUUAAAUUCUAGCUUACCAUGAAGGUGGAAGUAAAGGUUGUUGUUAGGAACAUAAUCAUAGAUAAGCAACCUCCUGUUCUCGGAGAUACAGUAUCCAACCAAAGAAAGCAAAUGCCGGUGAUGAACUCUGCUUAUGGUCUCAACCUCAGCUUUGAACUCUCGAUCGCCUUGUCCUCCACCUAUUUUUAACUGUUUAACAGCCACCACUCUUCCAUCUGGUAAAGCCCCUUUAUAUACACAACCAAACCCGCCUUCACCCAGUAGAUUUUCAUCUGAGAAUUCAUUUGUUGCUUUGACGAGUUCUUCGUAUGAGAACAGUUCCUUUGAGUGACCAAAGCCACCAGGUUCUGGUUGUGAAAAGAAUGUCCGGUUGCUAGAACGGUUUCCCACUAGCGGGGCAGACGAGUUUGUCUUGGAAGGCGUUGAAUCUGAACAACAGAGACUACUGAUAAACAAGUGCGCAUAGAAAUGUCCAUAAACAUAAACUUCAAGUUGAGAUAAGAACCAUCAAUACAUUACUAAGGAGAGUUCUUUCAGCCAUGCUUGCUAAGUUAAUGUGAGAAAGAGAAUUAAGGGUUAGCUGUUAAAAUGUACCUGAUCUUGGGGAGGAAACUAUAGGAGAUGGCAUAACAUAGCCACCUCCAAUGGAAGAAGGCCUCUUUUUCUGUCUCUUCACGCACCAGACAAUGACUCCAAUAAGACCAAGGAGCACAAGGACCAAACCAAUACUCACACCCACGAGAGCUACUGUACUAAAACCUGAGUUGCUGGAAUUGUUUGUCACGGGAGGAGUAAGGUUGUUUUGUUGAGGUGGAUUGCCUGAGUCUGGUACAGAUUUUUGAGGAGGAGGAGAUGGAACUAAUGGUGGUGAGGGUGAUGAAGAAGAGUUAGAAGGUAAGGGAGCUGGACUUGGUUUGGAAGGUGGGUGGAUUUUCUCUGGUGGAGGAGGACGUUUAGAAUCUGGAGGAGGAGGUUGCUGAGGAUGUUCUGGAUCCCGUGGAGGAGGAGGAGGAGAGAGAGCAGGACGUUGUGAGCCUGGUGGGGAGGGGGGAGGACGUGGAGGAGGAAGUGAUGGGGGAGGUGGAGAUGAAUGUAACGGUGGGACUAACGGAGGUGGGUUUGUAGGUGGGUCUGAAGCAGGUGGUGGAGGAGAGCUUUUGGGUGGCGGAAAUAACGGUGGUGAAAUGGCAGGCCGAUCAGGUGAUGAUGGUGGAGGAGGAGAGCUCUCAGGUAAUGAUGGUGGUGGAGGAGAGCUCUCAGGUGAUGAUGGUGGUGGAGGAGUAGAUACUUCCGGAGGUGGAAAUGAUGGUGGUGAAACGGCAGGCUCGUGUAGUGGAGGAGGUGGAGGGGGAGAGAUCUCAGGUAGUGGCGGUGGUGGUGGGUUUAAUGGCGGGUCAGGUGAAGAGGGAGUAGGAGGAGGAGAUGUUUCCGGUGGAGGGAACGAUGGUGGUGAAAUGGGAGGCUGUGGAGGGGGAGAGGUGUCAGGUGAUGGUGGUGGUGGAGGGUCAGCAGGUAACGUGGGAGUAGGAGGAGGAGCUCCGGUAGGUGGAGGUGGCGAGGAAGAAUCUUCUGGUGGUGGAGAUGAUAAAGGAGCCGCCGGGGGAGGAGUAGACUGAGGUGGAGGGUUUGGGAUCUCCGGUGAAUUGCCAUCAAUGGGCUCUCUCGUAGGAGAAACAGCAUUACCACCGGGAGACAAAGGUGGAGACGGUGGCACCUCCGCCGUAGGAGGCUGCACCGGUGUAGCCAUCUAAAUCAAAAGACCCAAUUUUUAACAAAUUUUCACCGAAAAAUCCAGAGCUUGAGGACGACAGUAACCGUAAAGCACUAAACUUUACCAAACUCUGUUACUACUAUUACUCGAAACGAAGACAGAGGAACCGUAAAGCACCAAACUUUACCCAACACUGUUCCUAAACUACUCGAAACGAAGCAGACCCAGAUCGUGAAAUGAACUUCCGAGCAGAACCCAGAUCACUGAAUCCAAAAUCUCAGAUUACCUGACUUGGUGAUAGACUUAAUGCAAACAAAACUUCAGAUCUCUCUGUAAAAGAUUUUCCUUGCAACACCCAGAAAAAGAAAAUUAUAUGCUAGUCUUAGCUAAUGGCCAAGUAAGCAACUUGUCUCCUUCUUUUUCUCACCAGUUGAGAUUGCGUCUGCGCAGCAUACAAGAUUUGGUGGUGUGCCUGAAGCCUUCAAAUUAUCAAGGCUGUUUGUGUGGAAGAAAAGAAGUAACUAAACAAAAUUCAAAGGCAGAUGAAUGGAUGAAUCAAAACUGUAUUUGUGUGUAUCAUAAUAUCAAACAAGUCAUCAGAACGAAAAGAAAAUUCAUAUGGGAAGGAACUUAAGACAAAUUAAUUAAUAUAUUUGUAUGCAUCAUAAAGGAAAAAAAGAAUGCUUUAUUGUAACGUCUAAUCAACGGUCAACAUGAAAUCUUAGCUUUAUUUUUAUUUUAUUUCUUGCUUGUUUUUGCAAAAAGAAGAUCGCUAAUUGGCAAUUACCUACUAUAUUUUUUUGAUAAUUGGUUUGCAAACAAAUAAUUAAUUACUAUACUGAAAUCUUGUUUUAGUUAGGAAAGUCAUUACUAUAUAUGGAAAUCUAAAGUUUCUUCACUCAUUUCAUUUUUAACCAUUUUUUUUUUAUUUUUCUCGUAUUAUUAAAAAAGUAUUUACCAAAUUAAAAAUAUAUAUUUUUGUUAUGUGUUAAUAUUACAAAAUCAGUUACGAACAAACAGCCUUAUUUGAAAUUAUUUUAACGUAAGAAAAAAACUUAAACUGCAGUGAAAUGUGUGAAAUUUUACAACCAUUGCCUAAGUACUAUUGUUUCAUAAUUAAAAAUUUGACAUAAACUAUUGGAUUUAAAGUGUAAUUAUUUGUAUAUUUAGUUCAUAAUAUAUGUACGAUUGGUGCUGAAAAUUAUGUAAAAUCCUGAAAACAGUAGUUCACUCGUUGCUUGACGUUAAAUUUCAUGAAAGGGACGUUGAGAACUUUGGGACCAUUUUGUCCAUAUCAGUUACAUGCCAAUAUAAAAAAGAAAAAAAGGAAAAAAGUCACAAUGUGGAACCCAAUUGUCAAGAUCAGUUACAUGCCUUUAAUAUUAUGUUCUUUUGUUUUUUGUUAUGUUUUAUUACCACUUUUUUUUUAUAUUUUUUUUUAAUUUUAUAUUAUUGAAAGAUAUUAAAAAAUCACAUUAAAUAUAUAAUAAAAACAUUUAUAUUUUUUCUUAUAUGUUAUAUUUGAAUUUUUCAAAACGUCUAUAUAUUAUUAGAAAUUUGAAUAUUCCCACUCUGAAAAUUUUGUGAUCAAUAGAUUAUUUUUUUGUUAUAAUAAGUUACAAAUGAUCAUAAAAUAUAACGCAUAUGAAUUUUUAUUUAAUGAAUAUUCAAACUAAAUAAUAUAUAUAUAUAUAUAUAUAUAAACACUAAUGAUUUAAAGCAACAAGAUUGGCUGAUCAAUUUAGUCGUCCAGUUGAAAUCUUUCAAAAGUAUGUGAAAAACUAAAGUCAAAGUAAAUAUGGAUUUAGAAUAGUAGUUAUAUUUUACUAACCAAAUACCGAAAAAAACCGGACCGAACCGAAACCAAUCCGAUAUCCGGAUUAAUCCAAAUGAAGCCAAACUAUUGUUUCAUUUUCCAAAAUAUAAUAAAAAUAAUAACUUAAUCCCGCGCAAGGCGCGGGUCUUAUCCUAGUAGAUUAUUAUUAUUGUCACCAUAAGUGAUCUUUAUAUGCAUUUUUCAUCAAACUUCAUCGUCAUCUUAUUACUUUUUUUUGGUUUUACUAUGUUGUACUUUUUUCUAAUUCAUUUUUAUAGUUUAAUAAAAUAUAAAAUUAGUACAUAAUAAAGUGUAUGAUAUUGUCAUUAACUCGAUUGGCCUUAUUUAACUUUCACUUUUAUUUUUCUUUCUAAUUCUUACUUUGGAUCAGGUGUGGUUUAAAUUUUUUAGGUAUGAUUAUUUUCUCUAGACCUAAGUAGAAAGUUUAUAACAAUUCACCGAUGGACCAUAAUUAUAAAUACAAAUAUUAACUGAAAUUUAUGUGUGAAAACGAAUUCUUAAUUGUAAAAUAAAUCUAACACAACAAUCCUAAAACUAUAAUAAAAUGAUUUUAUUAUUUUUAUGUUUUUUUUUAUGAAAUUAAAUCAUCAAACAAAAUUCGUUGCAACACAUGGACUCAUAUCUUGUUAUCAAUAAAACACACUCUUAAUAUUAAGUCAUCAAUUUAUAUAUAUUUUAGAUAUCUUCUUAUAUACGUUAACGAUUUUCAGAUCCAUCAAUUGGUUCAUCGUACUUCAUGUUAAAUGGGUUGGUUCAUUUGUACUUCCUGCUAAAUCAUGAACCACUUUUGACACAAAGUGUUCUUCUUUAAAUCGGAAUUUCUAAAGGUCGGCGUGGAGAGGUUAUGGGGUUCGGAAUCCACUUUAUUAUACGAAAUUGGACGAAAUAAACUGCAUAAUACUCAAGGGAAAAGUAGUAGAUCAUUACAACAACUUAUAUUGGAAAGCAGUGGAAGAUUAUACCAUAAGUUAAGACAAGAUUAAACAAAGAUUUACAAUAUUACAGCCUUUGUCUUAGUCACCUAUAUCUUCAUCUGUCUUUCUGAGAAAAAGAUUUGAACCCGUAAGUUCUUUUUACGAUUCUUGAUCAAUAACACCACAUGAAUGCCAUAAGCACAGAAGAUAAGUUUUCAUUUCUGUUUCUUUCCUCCAGCUAUUUGACAUCUACAAUGUCAGAAGAUCUUCAUGGCGCCAGAAGCUUCCAAAACCGAACUCUUUGCUCAUCGACAACAUUCCCUCAGUGACUUCAAUGCAAUUAGAUCUUGAUGAGCCUUCUUCAAACACAACCCCAUUUCCAUACCAACGCUCCUCUUUGACGACAUCCUCCUCCGUUCUUGGUUGCAAGGUUCUCCCACAUCUUCUCUUCGCAAACUUCUUAAUCUUCUGGCCAAGUUUACAAGGGACCUUGAAGAAGACGAAGGUAGUGACUUGUAACACAAGGCAUUGGCAGCAGCAUGAAAGGACACCACAGUCUUCUUCCAUUACUCUUGUUACGCACAAAACUUCAAGGACUACAAAUGUAAUACAUAGACUGGUGUGUGAAUUUCACAAGACAUGUAUACCGGCAUGUUUAGGAAUCUUGGACGGCAAAAGAACUGUAGCUGUUCAAAUCCUUGUUACCAUUGAUACUAUUCCCCAACAUGAAUGUGGUUCAUAUAAGGGCAAAUAGGUCUAUUCUCAUCUUUCUAUAUUUACACACGCCAAUGAAAAGUUUGGUGAUGACAUAAAGAGAAGAGAACCUUGUUGAUUUAUUAUUAGCAGAAGAGUGGGCAUGAGUUACAUCACAGAAGAGAAGAUAGAUGCAGAGGAGGUGACUUCUCAUGUAAGAAGAUGAAACCACUCACUAUCCUGUUCUCAUCUCUUCUUCCAAAAGAUUUGGACUAGACGAACCAGAGGACUUGCAUUGAGGUUCUAAACUCAUAUUAACCUUUCCUCUCAGUGUUUAUGUGAUUCCGUGGUAAUCAAGAAAGGUUCUGCUUAGAGAUCUCAUUUCUUGGCCAAAAUCAAAAUCUCCAAUGAGUUUUGUUUCUGAUAUAUUAUUUACACGUUUUCGUCUCUGCUAUUGUAAAUAUUGUGAGUGAAAAAAUCUGUACUGUAGUUUUGGCUGCCAAAAGCCAUUCUUCUAAACAAUCUGAUCUCUGCAGACUGCUCAGCUGAGUCGAUGACCUCGCUUUGGCCUAGUCUCAUCCCGUUGGUCAAGUCUUCCUCAGCUAGACUGUCGAAAGCUCUCACAAUCUGACUCAUCCGAGGUCUCUUUGCAGCUGAGUGGCGAAUACAAGCUGCAGCUGCUUCGAUCAUUCUAAACAUUUCAGCGCCAACGUAGUUUCUUCCCAGCUUGGGGUCUACUAAAGCUUCAAACUCCUCGGUUUCUACGGCAUGACUAAGCAAAGGACGAGCCU
rnacentral:lncRNA from 1 species